rnacentral:rRNA from 1 species
UAGAGAUCUGGAGGAAUACCGGUGGCGAAGGCGGCCCCCUGGACAAAGACUGACGCUCAGGUGCGAAAGCGUGGGGAGCAAACAGGAUUAGAUACCCUGGUAGUCCACGCCGUAAACGAUGUCGAUUUGGAGGUUGUGCCCUUGAGGCGUGGCUUCCGGAGCUAACGCGUUAAAUCGACCGCCUGGGGAGUACGGCCGCAAGGUUAAAACUCAAAUGAAUUGACGGGGGCCCGCACAAGCGGUGGAGCAUGUGGUUUAAUUCGAUGCAACGCGAAGAACCUUACCUGGUCUUGACAUCCACAGAACUUAGCAGAGAUGCUUUGGUGCCUUCGGGAACUGUGAGACAGGUGCUGCAUGGCUGUCGUCAGCUCGUGUUGUGAAAUGUUGGGUUAAGUCCCGCAACGAGCGCAACCCUUAUCCUUUGUUGCCAGCGGUCCGGCCGGGAACUCAAAGGAGACUGCCAGUGAUAAACUGGAGGAAGGUGGGGAUGACGUCAAGUCAUCAUGGCCCUUACGACCAGGGCUACACACGUGCUACAAUGGCAUAUACAAAGAGAAGCGACCUCGCGAGAGCAAGCGGACCUCAUAAAGUAUGUCGUAGUCCGGAUUGGAGUCUGCAACUCGACUCCAUGAAGUCGGAAUCGCUAGUAAUCGUAGAUCAGAAUGCUACGGUGAAUACGUUCCCGGGCCUUGUACACACCGCCCGUCACACCAUGGGAGUGGGUUGCAAAAGAAGUAGGUAGCUUAACCUUCGGGAGGGCGCUUACCACUUUGUGAUUCAUGACUGGGGUGAAGUCGUAACAAGGUAACCGUAGGGGAACCUGCGGUUGGAUCACCUCCUUACCUUAAAGAA